GUAGGAGUCUGGAUGAAGUCUACUUGCAGUCGGAGUCGGGGAUGAAGUUUGGCUCCCGUAGGAGUCUGGAUGAAGUCUACCUGCAGUCGAAGUUGGGGACGAAGUCCGGCUCCCAUAGGAGUCUGGAUGAAGUUUACCUGCAGUCGAAGUUGGGGACGAAGUCCGGCUCCCGUAGGAGUCCGGAUGAAGUCUACCUGCAGUC
rnacentral:lncRNA from 1 species